UAAAAAAUUUUUUAUGGUUUAUAUAAUUUAUUUUAAAUUUAUUUUACAUAUAAAUUUUGGUAUUUAUUAUUAUAUAUUUAAAAAAUAUUUAAUUAUUAAUUUGUAGUAAUUAAUAUUAAAAAUUUAAGUAAUUAAAAUUUAGUAAUAUAAAAAUUAAUAACAAAUUUUGUGCCAGCAGUUGCGGUUACACAAAAAUUAAAAUAAAUUUUUUUAGUAAUUAAUAAAUAGUAGUUGAAUAAUAAUUUAAAUUUUAACUUAUUGAGUGAAAUUUUAAUUUAAUUAAAAAUUAUUUUUAUGAAUUAAUAAAUUUUAGUUAUAAACUAGGAUUAGAUACCCUAUUAUUAAAAAAUUAAUAUUAAAAUACUAAAAUAUUAGAUUUUUAUUGAAACUUAAAUAAUUUGGCGGUAUUUUAGUUCAUUUAGAGGAAUCUGUCUAAUAAUUGAUAAUCCACGAAUAAAUUUACUUAACUUAUUAUUUUGUAUAUCGUUGUUAAAAAAAUAUUUUUUCAGAGUUAAUAAUAUUUUAAAAUUAAAAUUAAAAAUUAAAUCAAAUCAAGAUGCAGAUUAUAGUUAAGAAUAUGAUGGAUUACAAUAAAUUUAUUUAAGUGAAAAUUAAUAUGAAAUAUUUAAUUGAAAAUGGAUUUAAAUGUAAUUUUUUUUAGUUUAAAAAAAUGAUUAAUAAUUAAAAUAUGUACAUAUUGCCCGUCGCUUUCAUUUAAAAGUUGGAAUAAGUCGUAACAAAGUAGAGGUACUGGAAAGUGUUUCUAGAAAGAA
rnacentral:ncRNA from 1 species